CGCUUAUCUCUUGGCUGCUAUCUCAGAAGGACACUGCUGCAUUCUCGCCAGCCAGCUACUCUGACCUGCUACUGCCUGGAGCCAAUUAGGAUUUACAGUCAAGCGACAUAAACCCAGAAGGCCAAGGGUUACCCACCCCCCUGCCCAAAGUCCUAACCUGGAAAGUGACUUUCUUAAAAAGCAAGUGAAUGCUUUCUGUGAACUUUGUCAAAAGUUUUUCUUUUUAGGUACUAUUGAAGAUGUGCAGCAUAGGAAUUUGAAACUUUGAAACUUUGGCAGGGCACGGGAACACCAUGUCUCUCCUGCUUAGAACUAGCAAUCACUUGGCAGAUGAGCUGAAAAUUACACGCAAAAGCUCUGAAAAAGCAGAAUGCAGGAAAAAUACUUUAAAAAAUCUCAGCUGGCAAAACUUAACCCAAGAAAAAGGACUGUCAAAUUGGGUUGCCAUAUUAACUUCUUGCCCAGUUCCACGUGCGAAGUCUUCCUGCCACAUUCCCUAGACCUAUACCUUGUGUGAAAAUGAUAUGUUCUGUGCAGUCGCUGCCGUCUUUGUUUUCUCUUCUCUUAACAGGUGGACUUUUGCCAGAAUGCCCUAUCAACCGGGUGAGGAGGUGAUUGGACCCAGACGCCUCUCCAGCCUUGUUGGAAGGGACCCAAGAUGCCCGACGCCCACCAGAUGACCCGACACCCGCGAAACUACUGCCCUGCUGACGUCACUCCUGGACACUGAUGUUUUGCACGGCUCAAGAAUCCAGCAUGGAUUGAAAGAGGACAUUUUCUCAUUUUCUUUUCUUUCCCUUUGCAUAUACAGUUUUUAUAGAAGGUUGCUGGGCCCCUGGAUAGCCUUACACCACCCCUGCAGAGGAGGGUGUUUUUGUGGGACGUUCAAUCAGGGAAAUUACGCCCCAGCCCCUUUCAUUAUCUUGCCACCUGGCAGAGCUCCACCCAGAGCCUCCAGAACUUAACUGACGCCCCCCUUGGCCCACAGCACUGACUUGGUAAUAGAUAGCUGGAUCCCUGUGCACAAAUGGCAUGGGUAAGGCUGUGGGUACCCAUGAUGGUAUUUUUGCAAAUGGCAGAAAUGGUGGCUUAUUCUGCAAAUCAAACCAAUUGCACCGUCUGUACUCUGGCACCUACAGAUGCUCUGGGGGCAACCAUUUUUUUUAAUGGAAUCAUUCCAUCCCUUUUCCAGGUUCACCGAAUUACUGCUAGCUUUGUGUCAAAAUAAAUCAAAGAGUGCCAGUAACAAUCUGACAUGUGUAGAGACCUCCAGCUGCAAUCGUACCUUCCCAGCCCAAACCGUUACGCCUGAGUCCACGCCAGGAACUCUUUCUGGCUUGGUGUGGGCUUCAGAAGGGGGAGGUAGUGUAUCUGCUCAAGAACGAGAACAUGUGGCAAGCAUGGAGUUUGCUUCCUGACCCGAUAAACUCUGCACCCCGUCGAAGGAGGCGUUCAGCUGACCUAGCAACAAUUGCAGGAGGCAGCUCCCAAAAAUUGGGGCAAGCAUCAGUGGCCUCAAGAAAGGAUAGUGGCCCGUUUGGGACGAGCCUGGAAAGGCUGUCCAAAAAUUAAGAGGGGGGAAUGAAGGAGGUGAGGACAGGUGACCCCACCUAGGCCCAAAGUCACACCCUCCCAACCAGGCCUCAAAACUGUCCAAAAUUCCUUUCUCUCUUCUAAAAAUCCACAGCUAAAGUUUUCCUCUGCUUUUCUCACAAGAUGCUGUGCAUAGGCAAACCGUUACUUUUAUCAGUACGAGAAGGCUUCAAAAAGCUAAUGAAUAGACUCUGUCAGAACAAGCCUGAGAACUGACUUUUAUCUCAUUCAGUUGCAACAUCUUGGACAUGCUGAACCGCAAGGCUCCUCGACCCCCUUGGCUUCUCACCCCCUUUCCUAGGAAGAGUCCAAAAGAGUCCCAAGACAGGAGCUUUCUGUUCAUGCUCAGGAAACACAUGGGGCAGGACUCUUGAAGAGGAGGAGAAAGGGGAGGGAACUGGAAGGGGAAUAUAUGCUCUGUGCAAAUGACUGUGAACUUGUGCUUGUUUUGUGAAUCUAUCACACUUGUUCCUUCUGCCCCGCCCCCCCGGGAAUGGCAGAACAAAGCUCUUUCUCUGGAUUU
rnacentral:lncRNA from 1 species